rnacentral:rRNA from 1 species
UGGGGAAUAUUGCACAAUGGGCGCAAGCCUGAUGCAGCCAUGCCGCGUGUAUGAAGAAGGCCUUCGGGUUGUAAAGUACUUUCAGUCGGGAGGAAGGUGGUAAGGUUAAUAACCUUAUCAAUUGACGUUACCGACAGAAGAAGCACCGGCUAACUCCGUGCCAGCAGCCGCGGUAAUACGGAGGGUGCAAGCGUUAGUCGGAAUUACUGGGCGUAAAGCGCACGCAGGCGGUUGAUUGAGUCAGAUGUGAAAUCCCCGGGCUUAACCCGGGAAUUGCAUCUGAGACUUGGCAGCUUGAGUCUUGUAGAGGGGGGUAGAAUUCCAUGUGUAGCGGGGAAAUGCGUAGGGAUGUGGAGGAAUACCGGUGGCGGAGGCGGCCCCCUGGACAAAGACUGACGCUCAGGUGCGAAAGCGUGGGGAGCAAACAGG